GACGAACGCUGGCGGCGUGCUUAACACAUGCAAGUCGAACGAUGAAGCCGGAGCUUGCUCUGGUGAAUUAGUGGCGAACGGGUGAGUAACACGUGAGUAACCUGCCCUUGACUCUGGGAUAACCGCGGGAAACUGUAGCUAAUACCGGAUACGACCCUCGGAGGCAUCUCCUGGGGGUGGAAAGAAUUUCGGUAAAGGAUGGACUCGCGGCCUAUCAGCUAGUUGAUGAGGUAAAGGCUAACCAAGGCGACGACGGGUAGCCGGCCUGAGAGGGUGACCGGCCACACUGGGACUGAGAGACGGACCAGACUCCUACGGGAGGCAGCAGUGGGGAAUAUAGCACAAUGGGCGCAAGCCUGAUGCAGCAACGCCGCGUGAGGGAUGACGGCCUUCGGGUUGUAAACCUCUUUUAGCAGGGAAGAAGCGAAAGUGACGGUACCUGCAGAAAAAGCACCGGCUAACUACGUGCCAGCAGCCGCCGUAA
rnacentral:rRNA from 1 species